UACGAAGGGGGCUAGUGUUGCUCGGAAUCACUGGGCGUAAAGCGCACGUAGGCGGAUCUUUAAGUCAGGGGUGAAAUCCCAAGGCUCAACCUUGGAACUGCCUUUGAUACUGGGGAUCUCGAGUCCGGAAGAGGUUGGUGGAACUGCGAGUGUAGAGGUGAAAUUCGUAGAUAUCUGGAGGAACACCGGUGGCGAAGGCGGCAUCCUGGACCGACAUUGACGCUGAGGCGCGAAAGCCAGGGGAGCAAACGGG
rnacentral:rRNA from 1 species